AUAUGGAAGUUCUCAGGCUAGGGGUGGAAUCAGAGCUGCAGCUGCUGGCCCACAUCAUAGGCACAGAAACAUAGGAUGCGAGCCGCAUCUGCGACCUAUACCACAGCUCAUGGCAAUGCCGGAUCCCUGACCUACUGAGUGAGGCCAGGGAUCAAGCCCGCAUCCUCAUGGAUACUAGUCAGAUUUGUUUCCACUGCACUACAAUGGAAACUUCAUAGAAAUUAGAUGCAUCCUGAUAAAUAAAUGAGGCCUACUAAUAUGAAAAUGAGGAACAGAUUUUGAACAAGGCAUUUGAACAGUAGUUUGCUUAUACUUAAGAAAGAGGAGCUUGUGACCUAAAUCCUGAACUUUAGAGGGCCAACCUCCAUCCUUCCUCAGGUCAUACUACUCACCACCCAAAGCCUGUACCACACCUUCUAGACCAUGUUCUGAAUAAGCAGGCCACUAGAGGUCCAUGGCAGUAUAGUACUUUUUUCCAUCUUUUUUGUCCUGAGUGUGGAUUGCACCAUACUGUCAUAAUAAUAUUGCUGAAUGGUGGCCAAGUCUUGGUUGUUUGUGAGAAGUGUGGCUGGAGCUUGGAAUAAUGGGCUCUGUUGCUCAGAUGAGUGGGUUUCAGAACAUGGACCAGGGGUAAGAGUCUAGGUAAAUUUCCUUUUGUGCUACCACAUUCUAAGAUAGAAUUCUAAUGGCGGAAGAGCAUUCUAAAUUUGAACUGAGCCUUCAAGAUCAUUUUCAAGGUGUAUUUGUCAGAGUAGUAAGCGAGGACCCAUUUAAGGGUUUGAUAGUUGAUUGGCAGUUUUUCACUGUUUAUACAUAUGGUAGGUGUUCAAGGCUCUGAAAAUAUAAGGGAUGGGCUUGUGAUUUAACCAAAAACAUGAAGCUGGCCAGGUUAUGGUAUAGGAUCUAUGUGACAGAAUUCUAGAAAAGAAGAAUAAAUAGUGGGGAGGAAAGGGUGACUAGGAAGGUGACAUCAAAGUCAGAUCACAAGGGAGUGAUACUAAGGCGUAUGAGAUUUAUCCCAUAGGGUGGUUUGGUAAUGCCGUCCAAGGAUUUCCAUGUCCAAGUCCUUAGAACCUGUGAAUAUGUUACCUUACAAGGCAACAUGGGUUUUGAAAAUACAGUCACAUUUACAGAUUCUGAGAUGAUAUCAUCCUGGAUUAUCCAAAGGGUCCUAAUCUAACUACAUGAGUCCUGAAAUGUUGAAACCCUUUCCAGCUAUGUUCAUGAAGAUAGAAAUAUGAGGUUAGAAGAAGAGUGAGAAUCAACGACGCCUGAUGGCUUUGAAGCUGGAGGAAAGAACCAUGAGUCAAGGAAGGCAAAUGUCCUCUAGGAACUAGAAAGGGCAAGAAAACAAAUUCUCCCCUGGAGUCUCUAGAAAGUAAUGAGGCCUUGAUUUUAGCCCACAAUAAAUUCCUGCUGUAGCCUUUAGGCAUUUUUUUUUUUAAUUUUGUCACCAAUAAUAAAAUAACCUGACAAACAGGGGCUUCCAUAGGUGGUAUAUUUUUCUGCUCUAACAGGAAGUCCAGAAGUUGGACCUCUGGGCUACAGAAGCUGUGCUAGGGCCCAGGGCCUGCCUAUCUUUCUGCUCUAUCACCCCGACAAUUCCUGUGCUCAUGGUCACAAGAUGGUUGUUGUAGGUGGCAUGCCUCCCUAGACAGGGAGAGGACAGCAGAUGAAAAUAUAGGGAGCAUGCUAACCGAGGCGGAUUGUCCUUUCAAAAAUACUCAUUUCAGAAGCUCCACCCAUCAACUCACUGGCCAGAAGUAGCCAACUUUUACUUUGAGUACAGACAAAAAAGUUUCAGAAACUGGCAACUAAACCUGCAAGGCAACUAGGGCUUAGGAAGAGGAAUGGGAUUUAGACAGAGGCCAAAUCAUAAAAAGAACUCUGUUUACUACAGAUUUGGGAAGCAUCAGAGGCUGUCCAGGUCUCAGCAUUAUAUAGCACUGGGACUCAAGAAGAAUCACAGAGUAAGAGCUUGGCUUAUGGAGGUAAAAAAAAAAGUGGGGGGGGGGGGAGAAAAAGAGAACUUCUUGCUCCCAGCUACACUCAGCUAUUCUUCCUUUGUGUUCUAAUACCACGGGAGUAUCCCUAUCUUUGCACUGUUUCAACAUUUUGUUCAUCUGUGUAUGUAACCAAAAUGUUUUUUUCAUCUCCUACAGGUAGUUAACCCAGGCUCUCGAUUCUUGCCUCUUCAUGCCAAGCAGAGCACCAGGCAUAUGCUACGUAUUGGGUUAGUGUUGAUUACAUGAAUUAUUAAGGUAUGAAAACAUUUCAGGAGAGAGGAAUAUUCCUAUGCAUUAUUUUUAUUCCUUUCAAUAUAAUACAUGCCGUUUCAACCCUCAUGAGCUAUCAGAGAAGCACCUGGAGUUUCAGGAAAUGUACAGGACAUACGGUCAGCGCACUCGAGUACAAAUUCCAUUUCUG
rnacentral:lncRNA from 1 species